GUGGACAAGAGUGAAUCCUUGCCAGCCACCACCGCUAGCCCAGAAUCCAAAAGCUCUCCCUUUACCUUCCGCCAUGUUUGGAAGCUUCCUGAGGCCUUCCCAGAAGCAGAUGCCAGUAUGCUGCCUGUACAACCUGCAGAACUGGAAAAUGAAAGCAGCCAAAAGAGAAUUUCCUGAUGCUCCCACCAUCAAAUCCAUCAGCAUGCCUGCAUCUGAAAUCACAUUCUUUGCUUUCCUUCCUUUGAGAGUGGCUGGUCUGUCAGUAAUUCUAGCAAAGACCACACCACAUCCUAUCCUCUUACCAGAGAGCAUUUUCCUGAAAAUGACCAUUUCUGCAUUCCCCCUUAUGUUUUCCCCUAUACUGAAUCAUUCCAGUUAUCAUUUGUUUCAAAUGAAGAAUUAUAAUUCAAGUAUUUCUUUUAGUGCAAUGAGUGAGAGAUAAAGAUUACAUUUAACAUUAAGAUUGGUUCAGAACAUAAAAGUUCUUUUUGCACCGUGUUGGAAACUAUUGAAGUACUAUCUUCACAGCGUAACCCUCCGUACAUGCACUUCAUUGCUCCUCAAUUUUUCUGCCUUUCUCCAACACAAUACCUGAUACUGCCCUACUUUCUAUUCUCUUGUAUCCUUAUUUUUUCCUAAUUGAGAGAGAACAGUGAUGAUAAUUAAACAAUUGAGUGGAAACCAAUUCCUGCGAUAGUGCUAGAUGCUUAAUAGGUAACAUCUUCUGCUCGAGUUACUGAGACUUCACCUACUUUGAAGCUACUGAUCUCAAAGAAGCUUAAGGAAUAAUUAUGGAGGAGAUAAUUUUAGGUAAAAUUUGAAUUUAUAAGGAAAUGUUGUCCAGGAAAAUUAUAGGGUCCAUUUUUUACCAGGCUUGAGACAUAUUUGGUACAGAGAAUAUUAGGGAGUGGUUAGUCAGAAUGGCUGCUUUGGAAAAUGAAUUUAACUGUAAGAAGUCUGUUGAGUACAUAUAACAGUGGAAUAAAAUGGUGGUGGAGGUGAAAGAUCACUUCAUAUGAUACAUUUUGACUUCAAAUUUCUAGUCUCUGAGGAUUAAGAAGGUACCAGUGAAGAAAGGUUUGAUUUUCAAAGAGAAGCAGCCAAUGUCCCAUGACACCAUUAAUAAAAUAGAUAACACUUUAGAGUGUGCAAAGUUCAUUUAUUUUGAUUAUCUAAUUCAAAAGUGACACAACCUUAUGAGGUAACAAUUGCUAUACUUUAAUAAGGAAUGGAAACUAAGAGAAAUUAAGUAAGAUUUACCUUGGAUUUCCAAGGUAAUCCAAUAAGUGAGUCAAACCCAGGCUAUAGGUAAAGAAAUUGGCCACUCAGUACUACAAUAUGUAUGUUCACCAUUGUAGAGUGUGGCUGUCUUUUGAAAAAUGGCCCUUAGUGAAACAUGCUGUCCAGUAUUCACUUUUUUGUAUAGUUUUUAACCAAAAUAAAUGAGGGCUUGCCCUGUGUAAAUGAUAGAAUGUGGCGUGUUUCUUUUUCUCUAGGAAUGUGUAGUCUGUAGGAAGCCAACUUUUUGAACAUGAAGUUCAAGCACUCUGAGGACUCUAAGUUUGAGGAAGCCCAAGAUAGCCAAAUGAAGAGUCCACAAAAAGAAAAAGAGCUAUAGUGUCUGCUCUUUUAGCAAUCCCACCUGAGGUGUCAGACAUGUGAAUGAAGAUACUUUCUUGGUUGUCCAGUCUAGUUGAACUUUCAGAUGACUCUAGAUUUUGCUACUAUCUGACCGACACUCCAGGAGAUAUCUCAAGUGAGAAAUAACCAGUUGAGCUCAGUCAACACAAAUUACCAUAAAUAAUUAUUUUGGUUUCCAAGUUUGGGGGUGACCUUUUGUGUAGCAUUAGAUAAACAAAACCCUGCUUAUCUCCAAAGUUGGGGAAGGGGAGAAAUAAAAGAAUCACAUAAGGUAAAUAAGGGGCAUUGUUUUGCAAACUUUGAAAAAUACUAUAUACAAUGCAUGGAUGUAGUGAAAUACAUAGAGACUCAGAAGUCAUAAGCCCUGAGUUUGAAACCUCUUGAUAUUUUCUCACUCUGUGACUCUUGGAUAAAUCACACUCAAUUUCUCCUAGUCUAAAUGUGAUUAUCAAUAAAAUUAUGUUAAUAAAGCCUUGCUC
rnacentral:lncRNA from 10 species